rnacentral:lncRNA from 1 species
GAGGACCGUGGCCCUCGGAAAAUUCCGAGGAAUGUGGCCCUUGGUAUAUUCCGAUGACUUAUUCCGAGGAAAUGUUCGUCGGAAAUUUCCGAGGGUCCAUUUCCUCGGAAUUUCAAAAAAAAAUAUUUUUUUUUAAAAUUAAUUUUUUUUAAAAAUUAAUUUUUUUAAAUAUUAAUUUUUUUAAAAAAUUAAAAUUUUUGAAAUUUAAAUUCGAAAAUAUAAAAUUAAAAUUAAAAUUGAAAACAUAUUAGAUGAUAUUCAAAGUUGUACAAAUAAAAAUAAAACAUUCUGAGUUUUUGAAAAAAAAAAAAAAAAACUACGGGUCUUGCACGUUCCAUGCGUUGUCCAUCCAGAUAACAUACCAUAUGCUGGAAAAUCACUUAUUGUCCACAUUAGUACUGCCCGCAUUUGAAAGUUUUCUUUACACGAAACAUCGUAUGUUUCAGCACCUUGAGCCCAUAGUUGUUGCAACUCAUAUAUUAGUGGCUGAAGAAACACAUCAAGUGAUCUCUUAGGAUGCUCUGGUCCGGGAACGAGAAUCGAGAGAAACAAAAACUCUCGUCGCAAGCACAAGUUUGGGGAUAGGUUGUAUGGUGUAAGAAUGACUGGUCAUAGAGAAUACUGUCUUCCAC